CAUUAAGCCAUGCAUGUCUAAGUAUAAGCGAACUUAUACAGUGAAACUGCGGAUGGCUCAUUAAAACAGUUUGAAUUUAUUUGAUGAAUGUAUGAGAAUACUACUUGGAUAACCGUAGUAAUUCUAGAGCUAAUACAUGCAACGACGCCCGACCGUUUCACUACGGAAGGGCUGUAUUUAUUGGAUACCAAAACCAUCCUUCCCUCGGGAAGUUUUGUUUGAUGAUUCACAAUAACUGAUCGGAUCGCCACUGUGGUGGCGACAGGUCAUUCAACAUUCUGCCCUAUCAGCUUUCGAUGGUUGCGUAGUGGACAACCAUGGCCAUAACGGGUAACGGAGAAUCAGGGUUCGAUUCCGGAGAAGGAGCUUGAGAAUUGGCUACUACAUCUAAGGAAGGCAGCAGGUGCGCAAAUUACCCAAUCCCGAUUCGGGGAGGUAGUGACAAAAAAUAACAAUACCGGGCCUUUUUGGGCUUGGUAAUUGGAAUGAGGGAGAGUUAAACGGACCAUCGAGUAUCCAUUGGAGGGCAAGUCUGGUGCCAGCAGCUGCGGUAAUACCAGCUCCAAUAGCGUAUAUUAAAGUUGUUGCAGUUAAAAAGCUCGUAGUUGGACUUGUGUGCGCUGUCCGCGGGUGGCCUGCGCCCAAAAGGGCGUUUCGGUUCGGCCCCGGUGGCGCCUUGAAAUCUGCAGCUGGGGGGACGUUGGCCUUAACUGGUCGGCGACCGCACGCCGGCUGCUCGGUUACUGUGAGAAAAUUAGAGUGUUCAAGGCAGGCAUUGGGUGCAAUUGAAUACAUUAGCAUGGAAUAAUAAAAUAUGGCUCCUGCCGUAUUUUGUUGGUUUUGACUGGUGGGAGUAAUGAUUGAUAGGGACGGUUGGGGGUGCUAGUAUUGAGCGGCCAGAGGUGAAAUUCAUGGAUUCGCUCAAGACUAACUUAUGCGAAAGCAUUCACCAAGGACGUCCUCUUUAAUCAAGAACGAAAGUUGGGGGAUCGAAGACGAUCAGAUACCGUCGUAGUCUCAACCAUAAACUAUGUCGACUUGGGAUCGGCGGUAGUUUUUUCAUUAAGACACUGUCGGGACCACGGGAGAAAUCAAAGUGUCUGGACUCUGGGGGAAGUAUGGUCGCAAGGCUGAAACUUGAAGGAAUUGACGGAAGGGCACCACCAGGAGUGGAGCCUGCGGCUUAAUUUGACCCAACACGGGGAAACUUACCAGGUCCAGAGAUGUAGAGGAUUGACAGAUUGAAGCUCUUUCUUGAUCACUUCGGUGGUGGUGCAUGGCCGUUCUUAGUUGGUGGAGUGAUUGUCUGGUUAAUUCCGUUAACGAACGAGACCUCAGCCUGCUAGUGUAGUCGGCUGGAUUGCC
rnacentral:rRNA from 1 species